CUUGAUUUUGAAGUCUUGACAGUUGAGAAAGUGUUCCAGCAAUGCUGUGCUGUGAAAGCUCUGGUGAGCUCUGUGGGAGGCAGAGUCCUGGCGUGGCCGAUACUCAGGCUAGCUGCUUGCACUAAUAGUGAAUCAAAUGUAAGUUCGAAUUAUAAGUUAGAGAAAACAAAGAAAUCAUUCUUCAUCAAGAAGAUAAGGUGUUAAUAUUCCACCCACAGCUCUUUGCCCACGGGCCUUCCAUCAGAAACCUACAGGUGGCCAUUGAAGGCAAAGGAGAGGGUGGCUGUGCUGGCUAGUUUUAGGUCAACUUGACACAAGCUAGAGUCGUUUUGGAAGAGGGAACCUCAUUAGAGAAAAUGACCUCACCAGAUUUGUCUGUAGACAAGCCUGUGGUGCAUUUUCUUGAUUGAUGAUUGACGAGGGAGGGCCCAGCUCACUCUGGAUGGUUCCACCCUUGGCUGGUGGUCCUGGUGCUAUCAGAAAGCAGGCUGAGCAAGCCAUGGAAAACAAACCAGUAAGCAGUACACCUCCAUGGCCUCUGCAUCAGCUCCUGCUUCCAGGUUCCUGCCUGUUCUGACUUCCUAGGUGAUGAGCAGUGGUGUGGAAGUGAAAGCCAAAUAAACCCUUUCCUCCCCAACUUGCUUUUUGGUCAUGGUCUUUAUCACAGUAAUAGAAACCUUGAGACAGCGGCAUAGGGAGUUUGAGACAAGGGUGGGCUGCAGGAGCUGUGGCCUGGGUCCGGCUCUGUUAUUAGUCAGUCUGUUAUUGGCCCUGGGCUGCCUCCUGGGUGACGGUGGUUGGCCUGGGAGGGUCUGUCCUGUGGAUGUCUUUAGCCCUGAGCUGGUCCACCACAGCCACUCUGUUCCUCUCAGACAUAUCUAUGCCCUGGCUGCAUGCAGUGGAAUGUACUUUGUUUGUUCUGGGACUCUGGAAUGACAUGCUUGUGGAUUUGAAAUUCCAAGGGUCAAUUAACAACCAACCAACCAACUAACGAACAAACCCGACCCUUCAUCAGAAACCAGUUGGACAGCCAGGCCUAGAGGAGGCGUCGGGAGUCUGGGCAGGAGAAUUGCAAGUUCGAGAACUUCAUGGCUGACAGAGCAAGUUCAAGGCCAGUCUGUCUCAAAAUAAAAUGUU
rnacentral:lncRNA from 1 species